AGAGUUUGAUCAUGGCUCAGGACGUAUCGCUGGCGGCGUGCCUAACACAUGCAAGUCGAACGGACCCAUCCCGUCGAUGCGAUUUCGGUCAAGUCAAGGGAUGUUUUAGUGGCGGACGGGUGAGUAACGCGUGGGCAACCUGCCUUACACCGGGGGAUAACACUUAGAAAUAGGUGCUAAUACCGCAUAACAGGAGAACAUGCAUGUGUUUUCCUUGAAAACCACGGUGGUGUAAGAUGGACCCGCGUCUGAUUAGCUUGUUGGCAGGGUAACGGCCUACCAAGGCGACGAUCAGUAGCCGGCCUGAGAGGGUGGACGGCCACAUUGGGACUGAGACACGGCCCAGACUCCUACGGGAGGCAGCAGUGGGGAAUAUUGCACAAUGGGGGAAACCCUGGUGCAGCGACGCCGCGUGAGUGAAGAAGUAUUUCGGUAUGUAAAGCUCUGUCAGCAGGGAAGAAAAUGACGGUACCUGACCAAGAAGCCCCGGCUAACUACGUGCCAGCAGCCGCGGUAAUACGUAGGGGGCAAGCGUUAUCCGGAUUUACUGGGUGUAAAGGGAGCGCAGACGGCAGUGCAAGUCCGGAGUGAAAGCCCGGGGCCCAACCCCGGGACUGCUCUGGAAACUGUACGGCUGGAGUGCC
rnacentral:rRNA from 1 species